rnacentral:snoRNA from 1 species
AACCCAUGGUGAGGGCAUCUUUACAAAAGGUCCUUGUAUCUCUCCCAUAAUUGUAGAGUGUUUCUAAAUCCAUCUGUACAAAAGAGGAGAUAUUAUUAUGUAAUU